CCAGUCAGUUCUUCCUUUUUAUUUCUGUGUUUCCAUUCUCUUAAAAGUGUCUUUCACAGAUCAAUAGUUUUAAAUUUUGAUGAAGUCCAAUCUUUCAAUGUUUUAAAAAAUUUAUGGAUUGAGCUCUGGGUACUAUGUCUAAGAGCUCUUUGCCUAACCCUGGGUUAUCAAGAUUUUCUCCUAUGUUUUAUCCUAAACGUCUCAUAGCUAUAUGUUUUACAUUUAGCUCUAUGUUCUAUUUUGAGUUAUUGUUUGGAUAAGAUGUGAUGUUUCAGAAAAUGUUCAUUUUAUUUUUUUGGGCUUUGGCUGUCCAAUAUAAUUUGUUUCUACACCAUUUGUUGAUAUAUUAUUUCCAUCCUUAUGCUUUCUUUAGUUUUAUUUAGCUCUUCUUUUUUUUUCUCAUUUCCUAAAGUGGAAACUGAGACUAUUGCUCUGAGACGUUUCAAAUUUUCUAAUAUAAGCUGAAAUGAUCUGGCUUUGUGUCCUCACCCAAAUCUCUUCUCAAAUUGUAAUCCCCUUGUGUCAAGGGAGGGACCUAGUGGGAGGUGACUGGAUCAUGGGGGCACUUUCCCUCAUGCUGUUACCUUGAUAAUGAAUGAGUUCUCACGAGAUCUGAUGGUUUUAUAAGUGUUUGGCAGUUCCUCAUUUCUCCUUCACUAUCUCUCUCUCACCUGCUGCCAUGUAAGAUGUGCCUUGCUUCCCCCUUGCCUUCCACCAUGAUUGUAAGUUUCCCAAGGCCUCCCCAGCCAUGCAGAACUGUGAGUCAAUUAAACCUCUUUCUUUCAUAAAUUACCUAGUCUCAGGUAGUAUCUUUAUAGCAGAGAACAGACUAAUACAUACGCAUUUAAUGCUAUGAAUUUCCCUCUGAGCCACUACUUCAGUUUUAUGAAAAGAGGGUGAGUGGUAAGAAGUCCAGCCAUUUUCAACAAACCACAUUCCAGGCAAUUUUCUUCACCAAUUAAAAUUUAAAACCUCCUGUUGCAUGCUUGUGUGCUUAGGGGAUGAAGGAGGGCUAAGUUUGUCAGAUGUUCUGUACCAGCUAUUUCUAUUUCUAUGGCACAAUUGCGACCUUGAGUCUUGAAGAAAAAGUUAAAUUUUAUAGACUGUUUGUUACGUCAUGGGAUAAAUACAUAAUACAGUUUUGAAAGAUUUCCAUACCAUAAAGCAUCACCAACUUUACUAACUGCCUUUAUUUUUUCAGAACCCCUCAUUGCUAGGUGAUCAUGUGUUACUGUGUUUCAGUUGGAAAACAUUUCAGACCCAUUAGAGCUCCCAGGGGAACUCAAUGCUUAU
rnacentral:lncRNA from 1 species